GAUGAACGCUGGCGGCGUGCCUAAUACAUGCAAGUCGAGCGAACAGACGAGGAGCUUGCUCCUCUGACGUUAGCGGCGGACGGGUGAGUAACACGUGGAUAACCUACCUAUAAGACUGGGAUAACUUCGGGAAACCGGAGCUAAUACCGGAUAAUAUAUUGAACCGCAUGGUGCAAUAGUGAAAGACGGUUUUGCUGUCACUUAUGGAUGGAUCCGCGCUGCAUUAGCUAGUUGGUAAGGUAACGGCUUACCAAGGCAACGAUGCGUAGCCGACCUGAGAGGGUGAUCGGCCACACUGGAACUGAGACACGGUCCAGACUCCUACGGGAGGCAGCAGUAGGGAAUCUUCCGCAAUGGGCGAAAGCCUGACGGAGCAACGCCGCGUGAGUGAUGAAGGUCUUCGGAUCGUAAAGCUCUGUUAUUAGGGAAGAACAAAUGUGUAAGUAACUAUGCACGUCUUGACGGUACCUAAUCAGAAAGCCACGGCUAACUACGUG
rnacentral:rRNA from 1 species